AAAGUUACCACAGGGAUAACU
rnacentral:ncRNA from 2 species